GAUCCUGGCUCAGAUUGAACGCUGGCGGCAGGCUAACACAUGCAAGUCGAGCGGGGAAAGGUAGCUUGCUACCUAACCUAGCGGCGGACGGGUGAGUAAUGCUUAGGAAUCUGCCUAUUAGUGGGGGGACAACAUCUCGAAAGGGAUGCUAAUACCGCAUACGUCCUACGGGAGAAAGCAGGGGAUCUUCGGACCUUGCGCUAAUAGAUGAGCCUAAGUCGGAUUAGCUAGUUGGUGGGGUAAAGGCCUACCAAGGCGACGAUCUGUAGCGGGUCUGAGAGGAUGAUCCGCCACACUGGGACUGAGACACGGCCCAGACUCCUACGGGAGGCAGCAGUGGGGAAUAUUGGACAAUGGGGGGAACCCUGAUCCAGCCAUGCCGCGUGUGUGAAGAAAGGCCUUUUGGUUGUAAAGCACUUUAAGCGAGGAGGAGGAGCUCUUGGUUAAUACCCAAGAUGCUUGGACGUUACUCGCAGAAUAAGCACCGGCUAACUCUGUGCCAGCAGCCGC
rnacentral:rRNA from 1 species